rnacentral:lncRNA from 1 species
GCGAAAUAGUUAGCAUGGGAUAAAAAACCAAGAGGGUGGUGAAUAAUUGGUUUUUAAUAAUAAAGUGUGUCUUUUAAAAUUUCUUUUCAAUUUACUUACUAAGCAGAUAAUAAAGAUAAAUAAUAAGAGCAAGAUUGAGAGAAAUAUGCACAGAUGAUUUUAUCUUGGUUCAGAUCUUACCAAUCCUCUGUCCAGUCGCUUAUCUCAAAACAAGAUAAACAAUUCAUUACUCAUAAAACAAUUACAAAUUACAAUUAUAAAGAAACAAUUUGUAAAAGUUUAGAAAACACCUCUCUUGAUACC